UCCGCCAGGGGACUACAAGCGCUAGCUUAAAACCCAAAGGACUUGACGGUGCCUCACCUCCACCUAGAGGAGCCUGUUCUAGAACCGAUAAUCCUCGUUAAACCUCACCAUCUUUUGUCCCUCCCGCCUAUAUACCGCCGUCGCAAGCUUACCCUGUGAAGGCUCUGCAGUAAGCAAAAUGGGUAAAACCCAGAACGUCAGGUCGAGGUGUAGCUAACAAGAUGGGAAGAAAUGGGCUACAUUUUCUACACAGAAUAUAACGGAUCACGUCAUGAAAAUAGCGUAUGAGGUGGAUUAGUA
rnacentral:rRNA from 1 species